GUUGCUGCCGGGGGUAAUGUUUGUCUUGUGUGUUGUUGCCAGACACAUAUGAUGUGGUGGUGACCUCUGGCAGCCUGGCUCAGAGCCAUAUGCCUGUUCAAGCUAUUGAUGAAUGUAUCCGGAUCACCAAGCCAGGUGGUCUGGUGAUAAUUGUGACGAAUGUGAAGUACCUGACGACACUGGAGGAAUACAAGGACAAGCUGGAGCCACGCAUGGAACGCCUAGAACAACAAGGGUUGUGGCAGAAG